GCCCCGGCCCGCAUACAACGCUGUCUGCACCGCUCCCCUGCCUUCUUCCGGGCUCCCAGAGCACCGCUAUGGAGAUGCUCUCCCGGCAUUUGAGGAAGAAUUGAUUGUCCUCAUCCUGCAACUGUACUUGCCCAACCGAUAUUUAUUGAUGCCUGCAGUGUCCUGGGUGCCUACCAAGGGGCACAGAACUGGAUCCGACGCAGACCCUGCCUGCCUUCAGGUUGCUUGAAGAUGAACAGAGAGAUCGGACCUCUGCGUAAGUAACCUCGCUACGAAAUAUUAUGUGGGAAGGUCACGGAUAAAUAAUGCUCGGGAGUUGAAUGAGAAAGCGUCUGAGCAGAUCUAGGUGGAUGGAUAGAUUGGGAUGUGCAAAGGUAUGGGGGAGCCAGCCACACUGAGGGCAAACCUCAACCAAGGCAGAGUCAUGGGUCACCGUGAUAGUUUGUUCUAGCAGGUAGCUGGACCCUGAUGGGAAAGCAGAUGCAGCCAAGCUAGAACAUCUUAUCUUCUUUCUUCAGUAAGUCGCCGAUAGUGGAUACUGCUGCCACUUCAAACCCAACGGGACUCAAUUUGCCCUCCUUCCCGCCUUGUCAAAGUCUACUCUAGGAAUUCCAUCCCCCAUAGAACACUGCCUCUUCUAUGACCUCGUUCAGAUUAGAGACCAAAGUAUUGAAUAAUGAAAGCAAACAAAAGCAAAUGCUUGUCACCAAAUAUGUCCGAGAAAUCUAGAGGAAUUUUUAUUUUUGAUAAUCAGGCUCUAGAACUGGAAGUUUGAGAAGAGGAUCCUCUUAAAGCACAGCCCUAUACACUUUUUAAAGUACAGGAGUGGGGGUGCUCCCAGCCCUCCAAGGAGACUGACUUCUUGAUUAUGAAGGAAAAAUUCGCACAUGCGGGCAGGUCUGGGACUUUGGUUUUGUCUGAACCCAGAAGUUAGAGGUAGGAUACACCCUUAGAGGUCAUCUAGCCCAACCUCUCACCUAAAACGAACCAACUCUAUAGUGUCUAAUAGACAUGCAGAAUGCACUUAAAUAGUUCGAAGGUAAAAGAGCUCACCAUCUCGAAAGGCAGCCAACUCCACUGUGGUAAACCUUUGUUUAAAAAUUGUUAAAGCCGGCCGCGCGGUGGCUCACGCUUGUAAUCCCAGCACUUUGGGAGGCAGAGGCGGGCGGAUCAUGAGGUCAGGAGAUCGAGACCAUCCUGGCUAACAUGGUGAAACCCCAUCUCUACUUAAAAAAAUACAAAAAAUUAGCCGGGCGUGGUGGCGGGCGCCUGUAGUCCCAGCUACUCGGGAGGCUGAGGCAGGAGAAUGGCUUGAACCCAGGAGGCGGAGCUUGCAGUGAGCCGAGAUCGCGCCACCGCACUCCAGCCUUGGCGACAGAGCGAGACUCCGUCUCAAAAAAAAAAAAAAGUCUUAAAGCCAAACCACACUCCCUGAAGCCUAUAAUAGAAUAAAAUAGGAAUAGUCUUCACCUUUUUCAUGACAGCCCUUCAAAUACCAGAUUGCAGUAUUCAUUACCCACUAAGUCUUCUCUGUUCCUUGCUGAACAUCCUCAGUUUCAACCAUUCCUAUCGUGCUGUUCAAUACAACUGAUAUACAUGAUAGACAUGUUCUUUAUCUGCACUGUCAAACAUGUAGCCGCUAGUCCUAUGAGGAAUAAGCACUUGAAUUGUUGCUAGUGUAACUGAG
rnacentral:lncRNA from 1 species